GGCUUCACAUGAUAAUAACAAUUUAACAAUGUUCUCUCUAUCUUUCUCUCUUCCACAGAUUUGUGAUUCAACAAUGAAAGAGCUAGUUUCUCUUUCAUUAUAUGACCUAUUAAUAAUACUACCCUCUUUCAAAUUCAAGCUAAGCCCCUCAAUUGCAGUCAUUUCCAAAUCUUGAAGUGUCUUUCUAACCUUAUCUGCAUUUAUUGAU
rnacentral:misc_RNA from 1 species